AGAACGAACGCUGGCGGCAGGCUUAACACAUGCAAGUCGAGCGCCCCGCAAGGGGAGCGGCAGACGGGUGAGUAACGCGUGGGAACAUACCCUCCGGUUCGGAAUAGCUCAGGGAAACUUGGAUUAAUACCGGAUACGGCCUAGCGGCGAAAGAUUGAUCGCCGGAGGAUUGGCCCGCGUCUGAUUAGCUAGUUGGUGGGGUAAUGGCCCACCAAGGCGACGAUCAGUAGCUGGUCUGAGAGGAUGAUCAGCCACAUUGGGACUGAGACACGGCCCAAACUCCUACGGGAGGCAGCAGUGGGGAAUAUGGACAAUGGGCGCAAGCCUGAUCCAGCCAUGCCGCGUGAGUGAUGACGGCCUUAGGGUUGUAAAGCUCUUUCGCUAGGGACGAUAAUGACGGUACCUAGACAAGAAGCCCCGGCUAACUUCGCGCCAGCAGCCGC
rnacentral:rRNA from 1 species